UCCGAUCUUGAAUUCCGAAUGCUUCGUGAACGGAAUUAAAACAUGGCGGACGUAGAGGAGCCAGGACCUGCAUCAGGUCACUUGGAGUCAGUUAAAAACAGCACAGGGUGGAAUGUUUUUUUCCGCUCAGUUGCCAAUAAAGAAAGAUGUCGGCCCUAUGCUUCUGUCCAAGCUCACUACUCUCUGCCAGUGACGUCGGGUCAAGCUCAACGCUGAUUGGGCAACGCGGCUAAUCGUCAUGCCGUCAAUUCCGUUCACGAAGCAUUCGGAAUUCAAGAUCGGAGAGUGGACGCAAUCGGACAUGGUCGGAAAUGGCAUCGACCGUUUCAAAUGGCAACGACCGUUUACGAGACGGAAAAUUGCAGCGCCG
ensembl:lncRNA